rnacentral:rRNA from 1 species
CAGCAGCAGCCGCGGGAAUACGUAGGUGGCAAGCGUUGUCCGGAAUUAUUGGGCGUAAAGGGCUCGCAGGCGGUUUCUUAAGUCUGAUGUGAAAGCCCCCGGCUCAACCGGGGAGGGUCAUUGGAAACUGGGAAACUUGAGUGCAGAAGAGGAGAGUGGAAUUCCACGUGUAGCGGUGAAAUGCGUAGAGAUGUGGAGGAACACCAGUGGCGAAGGCGACUCUCUGGUCUGUAACUGACGCUGAGGAACGAAAGCGUGGGGAGCGAACAGGAUUAGAUACCCCUGUAGUCCCUGUCUCUUAUAC